AGUCCUGUAGCUCAGUGGUAAGAGCGCUCACCUCGUAAGCGAGAGACCUGGGUUCGAUUCCUGGCAGAGCGA